CUGCAGUCAGUAAAGCCAGCUAAACCCCUUCCCCCUUGCAGUCUGGAGUACAGAAUCUGUAUAUAGCAGCUUUCUUUGGAGUGUCUGCAGCAUGUUGCUCAUAGGUGUUGUCCUAAAGGACCUUGGAGAUUGCC